GCUAGGCAUGGUGAUGCACACCUGUAAUCCCAGCAGCUUAGGAGGCUGAGGCAGGAGGAUUACAAGUUCAAGGCCAGUGUCAGCAAUUUGGUGAGACUCUUAGCAACUCGGUAAGACCCUGUCCCUA
rnacentral:sRNA from 1 species